rnacentral:rRNA from 1 species
GACGAACGCUGGCGGCGUGCUUAACACAUGCAAGUCGAACGGUGAAGCGCCUUCCUUUUUGGUGGGUGUGGAUGAGUGGCGAACGGGUGAGUAACACGUGAGUAACCUGCCCCCUUCUUCUGGAUAACCGCAUGAAAGUGUGGCUAAUACGGGAUAUUCUGGGUCUGUCGCAUGAUGGGUCUGGGAAAGAUAUUGUUUCGGUGGGGGAUGGGCUCGCGGCCUAUCAGCUUGUUGGUGGGGUGAUGGCCUACCAAGGCGGUGACGGGUAGCCGGCCUGAGAGGGUGGACGGUCACACUGGGACUGAGACACGGCCCAGACUCAGACGGGAGGCAGAAGUGGGGAAUAUGGCACAAUGGGCGAAAGCCUGAUGCAGCGACGCGGCGGGAGGGAUGGAGGCCUUCGGGUUGUGAACCUCUUUCGCCAGUGAAGCAGGCCUGCCUCGUUUGUGGGUGGGUUGACGGUAGCUGGAGAAGAAGCGCCGGCUAACUACGUG